GGGAGAGGCCUUCUUUUAGCAGAGUAGACCCAGCCAGAAGUCCUCCCUCGUUUCAGUUGUUUUCUUCAUGAUCCCUUUGACGAUUUGGACACCCUUCUCGGCG
rnacentral:lncRNA from 1 species